CAUCUGGUAGCAAAGUAUUAGAAUGUAUAAAUUAUUUUAUCUUUCUAUAAUAUAGAUAAAGCUAAAGCAGCGGUUAUUUUAUAAUUAGCGUAUAUAACAUUUUUCAUUUUUAAUGUGGUAAACGUCUUGAAUUUAAUUGGCAAUGUGAAAACUAUCAAGACUAGGAUAACAAUCAUUGCGAAGAGAAGUUGCAAUGAAAAUAUAUUUUCUUUUCCUGGUAAACUGGCAUCCGGUAAUUAUCGUUUGCGAUAAAGAACAAAUUCGGCUACUUCGAAAUGCAGUAGAACAUUAUGCUGAUUGUACAGAUGAAAAGCAGUCUUACUGGAUAAUUAUUACUGAUACUAUUGGAAUUCAUUUUUAAGGGAAAAAGAAGAAGAAUGUAAAGAAAGGAUUCCAUAACAUAAAGAAUGCAAUCGUCUGUUAAAGAAGAGGAAACAUCUUUUGUGACUGAUAUAUGCUCCAAAGAAAUUAAAGAUGACAUUCAUAUCCAGAAUAAUGAUUCAAAUAUCAAAAGGUACACUACUCGUAAGAGUAAGAGGGCUUUUACUUGUGACGUUUGUGGCAUAACAUUUUCUGGUAAAGGUAAUUUAAUUCGACAUUACCAUACUCAUACAAAUCAAAAACCUUUUGUAUGCAACAUAUGUAGUAGAGGUUUUAAUGAUAAAAGUAAUUUAUUUCGACAUUAUCGUAUUCAUACAAAUGAAAAAAUUUAUUCUUGUGAUAUAUGUAACAAAGAAUUUUCUCAGAAAUCUCAUUUAAAUUAUCAUCAUCAGACUCAUACAAAUGAAAAAUCUUUUGUUUGUGAUUUCUGUGGUAAAGGAUUUUCCCAGAAAUCCAGUUUAAAGACGCAUCUCCUUAUACAUACGAACGAAACACCGUAUUCUUGUGAUGUAUGCAAUAAAGCAUUUUCUCAGAAACGCCUUUUAAACAAGCAUUAUCGUAUUCAUAAGAAAGUGAAGAUUCAUUAUUGUGAUGUAUGCAAUAAAACAUUUUUUGAGAAACGUCGUUUAACCGCCCAUUCUCGAAUUCAUACAGACGAAAAACCUUAUUCUUGUGAAUUAUGCAGUAAAACAUUUUCGCUGAAAAGUUAUUUAAAACAACACAUUCGUUAUCAUACUAAGGUGAAACCUUUCAUUUGUCAAAUAUGUAAUAUGGCAUUUUCUAAAAAAGGUAAUCGUGAUAGACAUUAUCAGGUACAUAAGAAUUCAAAUUCAUCCACAUAAUAUUUAAAAAUAUCUUCCACCGAAAAUCAUAUAGUUAUAUAUAAAUGUAUUUUUAUUUUACAAAUACUUUUGUCUUUCAAAAUUUGUGAAAACAUCUUGCAAACUUAUGAGUAAAUAAAAUCAAAUUUAUUUA